rnacentral:rRNA from 1 species
CCUACGGGAGGCAGCAGUAGGGAAUCUUUCACACUGGGCGAAAGCCUGAUGGAGCAACGCCGCGUGCAGGAUGAAGGCCUUCGGGUUGUAAACUGCUUUUAUAAGCGAGAAAUAUGAUGGUAACUUAUGAAUAAGGAUCGGCUAACUACGUGCCAGCAGCCGCGGUCAUACGUAGGAUCCGAGCAUUAUCCGGAGUGACUGGGUGUAAAGAGUUGCGUAGGUGGCAUAAUAAGUAGCUAGUGAAAUCUGGUGGCUCAACCAUUCAGACUAUUAGCUAAACUGUUAAGCUCGAGACCGUUAGGGGUAACUGGAAUUUCUAGUGUAGGAGUGAAAUCCGUAGAUAUUAGAAGGAACACCAAUAGCGUAGGCAGGUUGCUGGGACGGUUCUGACACGAAGGCACGAAAGCGUAGGGAGCAAACGGGAUUAGAUACCCUAGUAGUC